rnacentral:rRNA from 1 species
GUAGGUGGCAAGCGUUGUCCGGAAUUAUUGGGCGUAAAGCGCGCGCAGGCGGUUCUUUAAGUCUGAUGCGAAAGCCCACGGCUCAACCGUGGAGGGUCAUUGGAAACUGGAGAACUUGAGUACAGAAGAGGAAAGCGGAAUUCCACGUGUAGCGGUGAAAUGCGUAGAGAUGCGGAGGAACACCAGUGGCGAAGGCGGCUUUCUGGUCUGUAACUGACGCUGAGGCGCGAAAGCGUGGGGAGCAAACAGGGAUUAGAUACCCUGGUAGUCCACGCCGUAAACGAUGAGUGCUAAGUGUUAGGGGGUUUCCGCCCCCUUAGUGCUGCAGCUAACGCAUUAAGCACUCCGCCUGGGGAUACGGCCGCAAGGCUG